GACGAACGCUGGCGGCGUGCCUAAUACAUGCAAGUUGAGCGCUGAAGGUUGGUACUUGUACCAACUGGAUGAGCAGCGAACGGGUGAGUAACGCGUGGGUAAUCUGCCUUUGAGCGGGGGACAACAUUUGGAAACGAUUGCUAAUACCGCAUAAAAACUUUAAACACAAGUUUUAAGUUUGAAAGAUGCAAUUGCAUCACUCAAAGAUGAUCCCGCGUUGUAUUAGCUAGUUGGUGAGGUAAAGGCUCACCAAGGCGAUGAUACAUAGCCGACCUGAGAGGGUGAUCGGCCACAUUGGGACUGAGACACGGCCCAAACGCCUACGGGAGGCAGCAGUAGGGAAUCUUCGGCAAUGGACGAAAGUCUGACCGAGCAACGCCGCGUGAGUGAAGAAGGUUUUCGGAUCGUAAAACUCUGUUGGUAGAGAAGAACGUUGGUGAGAGUGGAAAGCUCAUCAAGUGACGGUAACUACCCAGAAAGGGACGGCUAACUACGUG
rnacentral:rRNA from 1 species